rnacentral:sRNA from 1 species
UACAACCGCUUCUAGCAACUGGGGUUGC